UGUUCCUCUUUGCAUCAAUUACUUCACUAGUCACAACUUUUAGGACUCUAAGAUGAAAUUCAUCAGGAUCUGGGAGCUCAUCAGUCUGCGACUCCAACAAUUUGCUUAGUGAAGAGUCUGGAGAGGUCUGAUGGAGGGAGUGAUUAGUGAAAGGGGGUAAAUGUUGGUGUGGUGCAGUACUAGGCGUUGAGUGUGAAUGAGGAACUUUAUACCUAAGGAACAAAUGUCCUGUUAUUAAAUAUAUGUCUUAAUUGUGGUUUUGACAACCAUGCCAAUAUUACCCAAGAACAGACCAUCUGCUACUGGAUGAAAAUAAUGGUUGGGAAAUGGUUGGCAGAACUCACAUAAUUUCCGGAGCCAACUGGCCUGUGUCUCCACAGUAAGAAAAAUUCAGCAUUUCCACUCUCCAGUGUCCACUUUGUACAAGAUAAAUAACAGCGGCAUUGACCUUUGAGAAUUGGAGU